UACGUAGGGUCCGAGCGUUGUCCGGAAUUACUGGGCGUAAAGAGCUCGUAGGUGGUUUGUCGCGUUGUUCGUGAAAACUCACAGCUCAACUGUGGGCGUGCGGGCGAUACGGGCAGACUAGAGUGUGGUAGGGGAGACUGGAAUUCCUGGUGUAGCGGUGAAAUGCGCAGAUAUCAGGAGGAACACCGGCGGCGAAGGCGGGUCUCUGGGCCAUAACUGACGCUGGAGGAGCGAAAAGCGUCGGGGAGCGAACAGG
rnacentral:rRNA from 1 species